rnacentral:tRNA from 1 species
AAUGAAGUGCCUGAAAAAAGGUCUAUUUUGAUAGAGUAGCUUAUGUGUAAUUCACCUUCAUUA